rnacentral:rRNA from 1 species
ACGAACGCUGGCGGCGUGCUUAACACAUGCAAGUCGAACGGUGAAGCGCCUUCCUUUUUGGUGGGUGUGGAUGAGUGGCGAACGGGUGAGUAACACGUGAGUAACCUGCCCCCUUCUUCUGGAUAACCGCAUGAAAGUGUGGCUAAUACGGGAUAUUCUGGGUCUGUCGCAUGAUGGGUCUGGGAAAGAUAUUGUUUCGGUGGGGGAUGGGCUCGCGGCCUAUCAGCUUGUUGGUGGGGUGAUGGCCUACCAAGGCGGUGACGGGUAGCCGGCCUGAGAGGGUGGACGGUCACACUGGGACUGAGACACGGCCCAGACUCCUACGGGAGGCAGCAGUGGGGAAUAUUGCACAAUGGGCGCAAGCCUGAUGCAGCGACGCCGCGUGAGGGAUGGAGGCCUUCGGGCUGUGAACCUCUUUCGCCAGUGAAGCAGGCCUGCCUCGUUUGUGGGUGGGUUGACGGUAGCUGGAUAAGAAGCGCCGGCUAACUACGUG